GGAUGAACGCUGGCGGCGUGCCUACUACAUGCAAGUCGAGCGAACGGACGAGAAGCUUGCUUCUCUGAUGUUAGCGGCGGACGGGUGAGUAACACGUGGAUAACCUACCUAUACGACUGGGAUAACUUCGGGAAACCGGAGCUAAUACCGGAUAAUAUUUUGAACCGCAUGGUUCAAAAGUGAAAGACGGUCUUGCUGUCACUUAUAGAUGGAUCCGCGCUGCAUUAGCUAGUUGGUAAGGUAACGGCUUACCAAGGCAACGAUGCAUAGCCGACCUGAGAGGGUGAUCGGCCACACUGGAACUGAGACACGGUCCAGACUCCUACGGGAGGCAGCAGUAGGGAAUCUUCCGCAAUGGGCGAAAGCCUGACGGAGCAACGCCGCGUGAGUGAUGAAGGUCUUCGGAUCGUAAAACUCUGUUAUUAGGGAAGAACAUAUGUGUAAGUAACUGUGCACAUCUUGACGGUACCUAAUCAGAAAGCCACGGCUAACUACGUG
rnacentral:rRNA from 1 species